AGAUUCCAGAGGCUUCUUUUCUGUGGGCGUGGCCAAGGCAGCGGGGGUUUAUGACAAAGUUGAGCGACCUCAUGUCACUCAAACCAGCUGUAUUAAGGAAGGUGCAAGCUUUUGGGAUUUCUGUUUGGAUUUAGUUUAGGUUCAAAAGAGCACGCACAGAUCCUGAGUGUUGUCAAGCACCCGUGACUGGGAAACGGAGGCGUCCGAUCCGUAUUGGAGUCAAUUCGCCACUUAAUUGAACACAGCCUCGAAGGGAAGGGCCAUAUUUGUGGGCCUGUCUAACAAUUAAGAGUGACCACAUGGAAUGGGGGAUGAAAGGGUUAAAGAAGAACAAAUAUUGAACACAGCUUUUCUAUGAACAAACUGCAGGCAGCUGCUGCUUUGCAAGAAAAACCCUUUGAAAAGAUUCAGCACGUUGCCAUGGAGAACAUCCCACUGAAGGAAUGUAUAGAAGUAGCAGGUGUCAGCUGCCUACCAGUUGCUUUCAUCUCUAGAAAUCUGUGACUUGCAGUAUGACAAGAACAAAAGGUGACAAUACAAAGGACAAAGGGCAAGGAAUACAGACGGAGAAGCCGCUUAGAGUCUAGGAUGGCAGAGGUUCUCUUGAUCAUUUCAUUUUUGAGCGCUUGUAGAGCUUUGGUGUACCAGAGGUGCUUGAACAGCUUACCACACCACAGAUGAAUGGCCUUUGGAUUUCUCCUAAGAAAAUGUGGCUACCUGAAAUUCAACUCCAUUUUCUGGUCUUCAAUAUUUCUUUUGUGUUCAGUUUGCCAGCUGAGGAGAAGUGGCUAAGCAUAGCCUGUUACUGAUGCUAAAGCCCAAGUUCUGAACCUAACAACUCCAGCAACAUGAUCCUGUUUCAAGAGACAAAAAAGUGACUAAUGAAAGAAAACAAUUGAUGUGCUAUGUAGAGUUUAAAAGAAGGUAAAGAGAAUAAAUUAAAAGCAACAACUCUCUUCUUGACAA
rnacentral:lncRNA from 1 species